AUAUGAAUAUCCUGUCAGUGUGCUGAUGCUAUCCUCUCACUCUCUCUCUCUCUCUGUGUGUGUAGUCUGAAGACCAGGUUGGGUGAGAGGCAGAGCUGCUGCACUGAGAACACAGCUCGCUGCCUCACAGCCUCUGUUCAGCUUCUGCAGCAGUGGACCCACUCCUCACCCACACGGACAACCACCUCCAUCCAGGUUAUAGCACAGGCCUCUCAAUCAAACAGAAUGAAUGUUGAUAUGAAGUAUAUUAACGUCUUCAAUAUAUCCAAAUCGAUAUGUAAUUCGGUUAGUGUCAGCUUUUGUACUUUCAUUGCACAAUCUAGUUUUAUGAGCAUCACAUACAAUACAAUUGAACAUUUCCCAGUAAUGUUGGCUACCUGGGUAUGGGAGCAAAUUAUUGGAACUGUAGAGGGAACACAAUAUUCCUGUAUGCCUUGCUGAAGUAAUUGCCAGGGUGCAUAAGUGUGUAGAUGUUUUGAAUUUGGUCAUUAUUUCCAAUUAUUACAGGAACAUUAUCAAGGACUUUGUUUAGUGCCUAUGGGUACAUCCUGUAAUAUGUGACGUAGGUCCACUCACUGUGGUCCAUUUGCUAGAUUGUUGAAACAACAUGAAUCAGAGCUAGUGAGGUCAGGGAUAUAGACUAUUCCAAGAACUCAGAGUUGUUGAGAAAACAUGGAAACACUCAUCACUCACUGAUGGUAGAACAUGUGACAGUGGUUCUUCCUGCUUCAGGCUGCAUUAGAGGAGGGUGUGCAGUUCCAAAAGGCCCUGAAGGAGGUGCUGUCUCACAGACAGUUCCUGGUGGACUGCCUGAAGCCUGACCAAGCAGACAGACUGGAGAAAGACACUACUGCAACACUCAGGGAUGCAGACACACACAGCACCUUUCUCACCAAGACUCUGAAAGAUGUAGCUGAGAAGAGUAAACAGAAAAUAGAUGUGACUCAGCCCGUUGCUGUCACCUCCGUCCAGACCGAAGACAAACCAGCCGCACCACCUAGGAGGACAGCCAAGACCAAGCAGACUCCCACCCAGGAGAGUCAGCAAGCUACACCACAGUUGCUUCUCCAUAUCACAGAGAAAAAUAUACCACAGCCACUCCCCCCUGUCACAGAGAAAAUCAUACCACAGCCACUCCCCCCUGUCACAGAGAAAAACAUGCCACAGCCACUCCCCCCUGUCACAGAGAAAAACAUACCACAGCCACUCCCCCCUGUCACAGAGAAAAACAUACCACAGCCACUCCCCCUGUCCCAGAGAAAUCAUACCAGUCAAACAGAGACUUCAGCUGUCACUGCCAUGGCGCAUACUGAAGCCCCAAGUUCAGGGUCUGUCAUGACACAGAACUAGCAAAGGAGAAUAUAACUGCUCUCAACAGGUGCCAAAAGCUGCAGUAGAGCCUAAACGAGCACGAUAGGACCACUCAAUCGGUUGAAAAACCGACAUAACUUCCCCCACCAUCCAAAUACAGACACCAAGAGUCGAUCGUCUGAGAACCUGAUGACAGAGGAACUGCAGUCAAGGAGCAUGGUGAUACUCAUGUUACAAGAGUAGAGACUACAACUGUGAAGACGGUUAGUCAGGCAACUGACCAGAUAGACCCGGGCCUUGAUCAGGAGACAUCUUUGACAGAUGCCCUACGCUCACAGCAUGCUUACAUUGACUCUGAAAAACAACGUAGUCAUGACGACACACAAGUAAAACAAUCUCAGGUAAAACAAGCUCACGUCCCUGACACAAAAAGCCAAGUGUGUUAUGAUGUCGACACACACGCAGCCACUGAGAAAGAAAUUGUCCUCUGUCUUCUGGACACUGACACGGAUGUGCAGACACCAGAGAUUGGCCACUGAUGAGCAGUGACACCGCACUUAUCAUAUCCUCCGGAGCAGAGUGCUUGAUACUGACAAUGGACUCGGACACUCAGUCCACCAGUCACAGUCCACAGCAGACAGAAUCACAGGACUCCACUGUAGGCCCAGUGAACACCCUGAGAAUAGGUUCUCGUCCCAGCCGGACAGAGCUGUGGAGAACAAGGUCAAGUAUGACACUGAGGAGUUAUGGAAGGACGCCAGACUGAGACUGAACAACCCGACCUUAUACUGGAAUUGCCUGAUGUGGCUCAGCCCACUGCUGUUGCCUCUUUCCAGACUGGAGUCAAAGCACCACCCCCGUCCACACCACCUCGUAACAAGAGAAAAAGCCAAGAGCCAGCAGCCCAGCCCUCUAACACACAGCCUGCUGUGGAGAACAGGGUCAAGUAUAAACACUGAAGUUAUGAAGGACAGCAAGACUGAGACUGAACAACGAUACAUUGUACUGGACCUGCCCACAGUGAGGAUGUGGCUGUACCUCCUGCUGUCACCUCAACCCAGACAGAGGACAAAGCAAGGCACCAUCCACACCACCUCGUAACGAGAAAACCAAGAGCCAGCAGGCCCAGCCUCUGACACACAGCCCAACACGCGUGGAGGACAGUGUCAAUUAUAACACUGAGGAAUUAUGGAAGGACAGUAAGACUGAACAACGAUACAUUGUACUGGACCUGCCCACAGUGAGUGUGUCCAGAAGAGCCUGUUGCUACUGCUGUCACUUCAAUCCAGACAGAAGACAAUGCUAAAGCACCCUCCACAUCGCCUCGUACCAAGGAGACAGCCAAGAGCCAGCAGGCCCAGCCCUCUAACACCCGCCUGCUGUGGGAACAAAGACAAGUAUAACAUGGGAGUUAUGGAAGGACAGCAAGGAUGACACUGACAACGAUACAUUGUACU
rnacentral:lncRNA from 1 species